CAUCACUGGUGUUCGGGUUGUCAUGCCAAUGGCACUGCCCGGUAGCUAAAUGCGGAAGAGAUAAGUGCUGAAAGCAUCUAAGCACGAAACUUGCCCCGAGAUGAGUUCUCCCUGAGACUUUAAGUCUCCUGAAGGAACGUUGAAGACGACGACGUUGAUAGGUCGGGUGUGUAAGCGCAGCGAUGCGUUGAGCUAACCGAUACUAAUGAACCGUGAGGCUUAACCUU
rnacentral:rRNA from 1 species